UGACAGAAUUUCCUGGGUUUUUAAAGCAUAAAUAGUAUGUCAUUGUGUAUAUAUAUGUUACAUUUUUCUUAUGCAUUCGUCGGUUGAUGGACGCUUAGUUGAUGCCAUAUUUUGAGUGUCUUGAGUAAUACUGCCAUGAACAGCGGGAGUGCAGAUAUCUUUUUGACAUACGAAUUUCAUUUUUUUUUUUUUUGGCUAUGCAUCCAGUAAUAGCAGAAUUGUUGGAUCCUAUGCAUCAAUUCAAUGAAAGCUGUGAUUAAGAGGUUUCACACGGAUGGAGCUGGAAGCCAUUAUCCUCAGCAAACUAACACAGGAACAGAAAACCAAAUAGCGCAUCUUCUCACUUACAAGUGGGAGCUGAACAACGAGAACACAUGGACACAGGGAGGGAAAAAGCACACACCGGGGACUCUCAGGGGAGGGCA
rnacentral:lncRNA from 1 species